rnacentral:rRNA from 1 species
GACGAACGCUGGCGGCGUGCCUAAUACAUGCAAGUAGAACGCUGAAGGAGGAGUUUGCUUCUCUGGAUGAGUUGCGAACGGGUGAGUAACGCGUAGGUAACCUGCCUGGUAGCGGGGGAUAACUAUUGGAAACGAUAGCUAAUACCGCAUAAGAUUGACUAUUGCAUGAUAGUCAGUUAAAAGGUGCAAUUGCAUCACUACCAGAUGGACCUGCGUUGUAUUAGCUAGUUGGUGGGGUAACGGCUCACCAAGGCGACGAUACAUAGCCGACCUGAGAGGGUGAUCGGCCACACUGGGACUGAGACACGGCCCAGACUCCUACGGGAGGCAGCAGUAGGGAAUCUUCGGCAAGGGACGGAAGUCUGACCGAGCAACGCCGCGUGAGUGAAGAAGGUUUUCGGAUCGUAAAGCUCUGUUGUAAGAGAAGAACGAGUGUGAGAGUGGAAAGUUCACACUGUGACGGUAUCUUACCAGAAAGGGACGGCUAACUACGUG